rnacentral:misc_RNA from 1 species
GAUGAAGAACGUAGCGAAAUGCGAUAAGUAGUGUGAAUUGCAGAAUUCAGUGAAUCAUCGAAUCUUUGAACGCACAUUGCGCCCCGUGGUAUUCCAUGGGGCAUGCCUGUUCGAGCGUCAUUUGUACCUUCAAGCUCUGCUUGGUGUUGGGAGUUUGUCUCGCCUCUGCGUGUAGACUCGCCUCAAAACAAUUGGCAGCCGGCGUAUUGAUUUCGGAGCGCAGUACAUCUCGCGCUUUGCACUCAUAACGACGACGUCCAAAAGUACAUUUUUACACUCUUGACCUCGGAUCAGGUAGGGAUACCCGCUGAACUUAAGCAUAUCAAUAAGCGGAGGA